ACAUUGGUGGCUCAGUGGUAGAAUUCUUGCCUUCCAUGCAGGAGACCUGGGUUCAAUUCCCAGCCAAUGCA
rnacentral:tRNA from 1 species